CCAUAGCCCUGAUGGGAACGGCAUCCUUUUUCUCGGUGGGGUCGGGCAAGCUUAGGCACCGAGAAAAAGAUACAGUGGACAGCAGGUUCCCGG
rnacentral:sRNA from 1 species